CUCUAUAAGACUGGGAUAACUUCGGGAAACCGGAGCUAAUACCGGAUAAUAUUUUGAACCGCAUGGUUCAAAAGUGAAAGACGGUCUUGCUGUCACUUAUAGAUGGAUCCGCGCUGCAUUAGCUAGUUGGUAAGGUAACGGCUUACCAAGGCAACGAUGCAUAGCCGACCUGAGAGGGUGAUCGGCCACACUGGAACUGAGACACGGUCCAG
rnacentral:rRNA from 1 species